ACGAACGCUGGCGGCGUGCUUCACCCCUGCAAGUCGAACGGAAAGGCCCUGCUUGCAGGGUACUCGAGUGGCGAACGGGUGAGUAACACGUGGGUGAUCUGCCCUGCACUUCGGGAUAAGCCUGGGAAACUGGGUCUAAUACCGGAUAGGAGCCAUUUUUAGUGUGAUGGUUGGAAAGUUUUUUCGGUGUAGGAUGAGCUCGCGGCCUAUCAGCUUGUUGGUGGGGUAAUGGCCUACCAAGGCGGCGACGGGUAGCCGGCCUGAGAGGGUGGACGGCCACAUUGGGACUGAGAUACGGCCCAGACUCCUACGGGAGGCAGCAGUGGGGAAUAUUGCACAAUGGGCGCAAGCCUGAUGCAGCGACGCCGCGGGGGGGAUGACGGCCUUCGGGUUGUAAACUCCUUUCGCUAGGGACGAAGCUUUUUGUGACGGUACCUAGAUAAGAAGCACCGGCUAACUACGUG
rnacentral:rRNA from 1 species